UGUCUGUCUGUCUGUUGCAUUUCCACGCCUAAACCACUGAACCAAUCUUAAUAAAUUUGGAAGGUAGGUAGCUUGACACCCGGGGCUAGGGCAUAGGCUUCAUUUUAACCGAUCACGGGACACUAAAGGGGGUUCAUGUUUUGAAAAAUUGUGCCAAGCGCGAUAUAACCAAAACGCGGACGAAGUCGCGGGCGGAAAGCUAUUUUUAAUACGUUCAUUUAAUACCAGAAAAAGUUUAGCACCUCUGACCUUACCUAUAUGUUCCUGUUACCCCAAAUUUCGUUUUUGUAUGGUGUCAGCCUAAAUAAGACCUUAUUUUAAACGAGGUAAGGUUUUCAUUCCC